GCUAAUUUAGUUUAAAAUAAAACGUUGUGUUGUGGUCACAAAAAUAAAGUAAUUUAAUUGGUU
rnacentral:tRNA from 1 species